rnacentral:tRNA from 1 species
GGAUUGUGACUCAGUGGUAGAGCGCUUGCCUAGCAUGUGUGAGGCACUGGGUUCGGUCCUCAGCACCA